UACGUAGGGGGCAAGCGUUGUCCGGAAUCAUUGGGCGUAAAGCGCGUGUAGGCGGUUCAGUAAGUCUGCUGUGAAAGUCCAGGGCUCAACCCUGGGAUGCCGGUGGAUACUGCUGGGCUAGAGUACGGAAGAGGCGAGUGGAAUUCCCGGUGUAGCGGUGAAAUGCGCAGAUAUCGGGAGGAACACCAAUUGCGAAGGCAGCUCGCUGGGACGUCACUGACGCUGAGACGCGAAAGCGUGGGGAGCAAACGGG
rnacentral:rRNA from 1 species